rnacentral:rRNA from 1 species
UAAGACGGAGGGGGCUAGCGUUGUUCGGAAUGACUGGGCGUAAAGGGCGCGUAGGUUGUUUGUUAAGUUAGAUGUGAAAUCCCUGGGCUUAACCCAGGAACUGCAUUUAAAACUGAUAAACUAGAGUGUGGUAGAGGAAUUUGGAAUUCCGAGUGUAGAGGUGAAAUUCGUAGAUAUUCGGAGGAACAUCUGAGGCGAAGGCGAGAUUCUGGGCCACAACUGACACUGAGGCGCGAUAGCGUGGGGAGCAAACAGG